rnacentral:rRNA from 1 species
UACGGGGGGGGCAAGCGUUGUUCGGAAUUACUGGGCGUAAAGGGCUCGUAAGCGGCCAACUAAGUCAGACGUGAAAUCCCUCGGCUUAACCGGGGAACUGCGUCUGAUACUGGAUGGCUUGAAUCCGGGAGAGGGAUGCGGAAUUCCAGGUGUAGCGGUGAAAUGCGUAGAUAUCUGGAGGAACACCGGUGGCGAAGGCGGCAUCCUGGACCGGCAUUGACGCUGAGGAGCGAAAGCCAGGGGAGCAAACGGG